GUCAUCGGUCAGAGAAAAGUGAAGUCAGCAUUGAUGAAGAAAUAGAUGAUAUUUCUAUGGAAAUAGAAGACUUCAUUACUAGUGAAAAGCUUGAAGACCUCACACAAGACUUCACUGUUUCUCAGUUAAGCGUUGAAGCAGAUUACCUAGAGGAUGUUGCAUGAGUAGAGAGCAGAAAUCUUAAAUGGUGGGACUGUCGACCUUUGUAGACUGUAUUUUAAGACAAUCAAUCUUCUGAAAUACCCCUCACAAAUCGUGCCUUUUAU